AUUGAACGCUGGCGGCAUGGCUAAAACAUGCAAGUCGAACGGACCCGCAAGGGUUAGUGGCGGAAGGGUGAGUAAAAGUAUCGAAUGUGCCCCGAGGUGGGGGAGUAGGCACGGGAAGCUGUGCGUAAUACCUCAUGAUCUCGAGAGAGACAAAGGCCGUACCCCUUAAAACGGUGUCGCCUUGGGAGCAGCGAUAUACCUAUCAGGUAGUUGGCGGGGUAAUGGCCCACCAAGCCGAAGACGGGUAGCCGGUAUGAGAGUACGGCCGGCCACAUCGGGACUGAGACACUGCCCGGACUCCUACGGGAGGCUGCAGUAACGAAUAUUCCGCAAUGCACGAAAGUGCGACGGAGCAAUGCCGCGUG
rnacentral:rRNA from 1 species